GGACUACCCGGGUAUCUAAUCCCGUUCGCUCCCCUGGCUUUCGCGCAUCAGCGUCAGUGUCGGCCCAGCAACCCGCCUUCGCCGCAGGUGUUCCUCUCGAUAUCUACGCAUUUCACCGCUACACCGAGAAUUCCAGUUGCCCCUUCCGCACUCUAGCACAACAGUAUCACUUGACCUUUCCGAGUUAAGCCCGGAGAUUUCACAAGUGACUUGUUGCGCCGCCUACGCGCCCUUUACGCCCAGUAAAUCCGAACAACGCUUGCUCCCCCCGUAUUACCGCGGCGGCUGGCAC
rnacentral:rRNA from 1 species